ensembl:lncRNA
ACAUUCCUCAGCUUGUCCCUCCCUCCACCCUGUUACCAGGAGGGUAAAGAGUGGAGCAAAGUUACUUGAAUGAAAAUUGUUGGUCUAAGUGGUAUUUACAUACAACAUUUCUGAUACAUCUGAAAUGGAAGUAAACAAGCCUUGUCUGAAAAAUCCACCUUCAUCAUUAUACCAUUCUACCUUGAGAUGACCUUAUUACAAUUUGUUAAAGCUGUACCAGGGAAGAAGUUGUGUUGCAUCAAGAUACUGAGAAGUUGGUAAGGAGCCACAACAACACUGUUAAACCUGCGUCUCCCCCAGUCCCUACUGUAAGGAAGGAGGACUCAAAGAGGAAUGAAAAGUACAUAAAUUGCAUUUAACAGAAGUAUCAUAAGCACAAGAUAGCCUAUGAGGUGAAGGGGUGCUAUUCCUGAUGACUGAUACUGGAUCGGGAGCUGGAGCAUCAACAACUUACAGAUGGGCUAAAUAAUUUAGCAUAAAAUAUCCCUAUGAAAGUAAUAUAGAUUUGAGUUUAAAGAUGAAAACAGUAGAUGUAGUGAAACAGAUGAGUAUAUGAAAUAAGUACUAUUUUUUCAAAAAUGUAUACUUAAAUCCCACUUACACGAACACCUGUUCUGGCUGUUGUUUCCAGUUUAAUGAGUUUAGAGAGGUCUGUAUCUCUCAACUGAGAGUAGCUCUAUCAUUCUGAUAUUUAAUUUUGUUUGUUUUUUAUAAAUGUCUUAUAAAAAAGAGAAUAAUUUAGCACCUGUUACCUACUAACAUCUGUCUCAGUUAGCCAUUGUUAAAUAUGUACACAAUGCAUUGAAUUUCAGUUGAUUUUUCUCUUAAAUCACAAAUUGAUUUAAUUAUCAAUGCAAAGUUCUUACCAUAGCAAUUGUUCAUUGAAAAUUUAAUUAGACUGGAUUACCAAUGGAUCUUUCUUUAUCUUCUUUGAAUAUGAAGAACAUCUAAUUGUCUUCAAUUGUCUUUUGCCUUUUAAACACUUCCUUUUUUCUUCUCAGUGUAUCUGUAUAGCCAUUGCAAUAAAAUAAAAAUUCAAAGG